GAUGAAGAACGCAGCGAAAUGCGAUACUUGGUGUGAAUUGCAGAAUCCCGUGAACCAUCGAGUCUUUGAACGCAAGUUGCGCCCGAAGCCACUAGGCCGAGGGCACGCCUGCCUGGGCGUCACACGCCGUUGCCCCCCCAUCUACUCCUUCGGGAUUGCGGGGGGCGGAUGAUGGCUUCCCGUGCGCCUCGUCGCGCGGUUGGCAUAAAUGCCAAGUCCUCGGCGACGCACGCCACGACAAUCGGUGGUUGCGAAACCUCGGUUGCCCGUCGUGUGCGGUCGUCGCGCAUCGAGGGCUCGAAAAAAUUGCCGGGCUCCGGCUCGGCUUUCAACGCGACCCCAGGUCAGGCGGGGUUACCCGCUGAAUUUAAGCAUAUCAAUAAGCGGAGGA
rnacentral:misc_RNA from 1 species